rnacentral:rRNA from 1 species
AACGAACGCUGGCGGCAGGCCUAAAACAUGCAAGUCGAGCGAUCCUUCGGGAUAGCGGCGCACGGGUGAGUAACGCGUGGGAAUAUGCCCUUCACUGCGGAAUAACAGUUGGAAACGACUGCUAAUACCGCAUAAUGACUCCGGUCCAAAGAUUUAUCGGUGAAGGAUUAGCCCGCGUUAGAUUAGAUAGUUGGUGGGGUAAAAGCCUACCAAGUCGACGAUCUAUAGCUGAUUUGAGAGGAUGAUCAGCCACACUGGUACUGAGACACGGACCAGACUCCUACGGGAGGCAGCAGUUAGGAAUAUUGGACAAUGGAGGCAACUCUGAUCCAGCCAUGCCGCGUGAGUGAAGACGGCCUUAGGGUUGUAAAGCUCUUUCAGAUGUGAGGAUAAUGACAGUAACAUCAGAAGAAGCCCCGGCUAAAUUCG